UACGGGGGGGGCAAGCGUUGUUCGGAAUUACUGGGCGUAAAGGGCUCGUAGGUGGCCAACUAAGUCAGACGUGAAAUCCCUCAGCUUAACUGGGGAACUGCGUCUGAUACUGGAUGGCUUGAGUUUGGGAGAGGGAUGCGGAAUUCCAGGUGUAGCGGUGAAAUGCGUAGAUAUCAAGAGGAACACCUGAGGUGAAGACGGGUUGCUGGGCUGACACUGACGCUGAGGCGCGAAAGCCAGGGGAGCAAACGGG
rnacentral:rRNA from 1 species